AGAACGAACGCUGGCGGCAUGCCUAAUACAUGCAAGUCGAACGAACUCUUCGGAGUUAGUGGCGCACGGGUGCGUAACGCGUGGGAGUCUGCCCCUUGGUUCGGAAUAACAGUUGGAAACGACUGCUAAUACCGGAUGAUGACGAAAGUCCAAAGAUUUAUCGCCAAGGGAUGAGCCCGCGUAGGAUUAGCUAGUUGGUGAGGUAAAGGCUCACCAAGGCAACGAUCCUUAGCUGGUCUGAGAGGAUGAUCAGCCACACUGGGACUGAGA
rnacentral:rRNA from 1 species